AUAAUCUAGAUGUCAGAUGACACAUGAGAAUAUUGCUAAAAUAAUGAACAACUCCCAUGCUUUAGGUUCCCAGCAUCUUUGACCUUCUUACAUUUAAACGGCUUUCUAAAUCCAUCUGAAAAUAUUCAGGACAGCACUUAGGCCUCCUGAUUUAUGCUAAUAAUUUGAUCGCCUCUCCCUUCCCUUAGCAGAGCUAACCACAUUUGAAUACACUGAAUGGUUUAACUACCUCCACAGAUUUCCGAUCAAAGCAAGUGUGAAAUAAUUUUCCCCCACUUUGUACAGCAAAAUCCUUUAUGCAAGUGAGUCAACAAUACGGAGAGGAGAUAAUGCAAUUCAAAAGGCGUGAAGACAGAGCUUAUGGAAGACGUAUUUGCUAAUAUUAUCACGCCAAAUUGUUUCUUUUGUUUUCUUAAGUCUCAGCUGGGAGGCGGCGGCCACUGAAAGGAGGUUCUGCCCGUGUAGCCUGGUCUUUAGCAUACUUUAGGGAAUGAAAUUACUUUCUAAUCACGAAAUCCACCAGACUGUGGAACAGCCUGAUACAAGAAGUCACGUUGUGCCAGGAAAGCUCUGGGUCAUUCUGAAGUGAACUCACAGGGCCCUGCAGUAACCUGCCUGAGGCCAUUGCUGAAAUGAAAGCCAGUGAGACAACCCCAGAGCCCUGCCUCCUGCUUCAGCAUCCAAUUCUCAUUACAUUGGCCUCCUAGGGGUGAGGAGCCUGCCAGAUGAUGAGUGAGUAGGAAGAAUCUGGAGUUUGUAGUCAAAUUGAAAAGCCAGCUUCUUCCCCGUGGAAUCUCCCAAGCUGUGACCCUUUGAGGAGAAAAGGUGCUGCUCGGGAAUAAUUAUAAACCCAGCUGUCAGCCUUUACCCUGAUGGCAAAGAGCUGGAGAACUGAUGACCACGUGGGUAGCAACCUGAGUUGUCUGUCACGUGCCCUCCCCGCUGCUCAUGGAGGAUCUUUAGUCUCAGCGUGUGAACUCUUAAGUCGUGGCAUGUUGGAUUCAGUUUUUUGACCAAGGAUGGAACCCAGCCCCCAGGCAUUUGGAGGGUGGAGUCUUAGCCACUGGACCACCAGGGAAGUCCCCCAAGACGGCAUCCUUCCAACCAGCUCCCCCUCACCCACUCUUGCAAAACCACCUAGAGUUGAAUGAAAUAAGCCAUGGGGAAGAGCUGAGAUCCCGAUUGCAAGCUCAUCCUUCAGUGCUGUCUCACUAGAGCUGUGUUGCUGCAAAUUUUCCUUUCACACCGGUCUGGCUCCGGCACAUGUUGGACUCAGAUGGGAGGCCGGCUUCCCCGGUUGAGAAGCACAGCUUCCUGGUCCUGUGCCGUCUUCAGGAGAGCUCACACCGUCUCCCAGUGACUGGAGAGAAACUGAGCAAGGCUUUCACUGACAGGUGGCAAGGCAAACACAGCACCGAGACCGCCUGCAAAGCCCCCAGGAAGCGAGGUGGCUUUCAGCCUCACCUUGCCUAUCUGUCACGUGAGUCACGGACCACAGCCAGCGCUAAUAAAUCAACACCAUUCUUUAAAGCACCCUGGUCAGCUGCAUGUAUUUCUGUGGAUGCUUUUGAGCUGUGGUGUUGGAGAAGACUCUUGAGAGUCCCUUGGACUGCAAGGAGAUCCAGCCAGUCCAUCCUACAGGAGACCAGUCCUGGGUGUUCAUUGGAAGGACUGAUGUUGAAGGUCUCCGUUGCAGCCUGUGAACUCUCAGCUGUAGCAUGUGGGUUCUACUUCCCUGGCCAGGGAUCAAACCUGGGCCCCUGCAUUGGGAGCUCGGAGUCUCAGCCACUGGAAGUCCCAAAAAGACAGCCCGUGGUGGUCCACUGCAGAGCUGGUUUGUCCUCUGUACCCACAACUACGCAGCUCCUACAGUCUACACAGCAAGCUGAAGCCCAGUGCACGGCAUGGAGCCACUCAAGCUCUGCAGACACCUCACCCCUGCCAGCUGGGGCCC